rnacentral:rRNA from 1 species
UACGUAGGGUGCAAGCGUUAAUCGGAAUUACUGGGCGUAAAGCGUGCGCAGGCGGUUUUGUAAGUCUGUCGUGAAAUCCCCGGGCUCAACCUGGGAAUUGCGAUGGAGACUGCAAGGCUAGAGUUUGGCAGAGGGGGGUAGAAUUCCACGUGUAGCAGUGAAAUGCGUAGAGAUGUGGAGGAACACCGAUGGCGAAGGCAGCCCCCUGGGUCAAAACUGACGCUCAUGCACGAAAGCGUGGGGAGCAAACAGU